rnacentral:rRNA from 1 species
CAAGUCGAACGAAGCACAGAAAGCAGAUUACUUCGGUUUGAAGCUUUCUGUGACUGAGUGGCGGACGGGUGAGUAACGCGUGGAUAACCUGCCUCACACAGGGGGAUAACAGUUAGAAACGACUGCUAAUACCGCAUAAGCGCACAGUCUCGCAUGGGACAGUGUGAAAAACUGAGGUGGUGUGAGAUGGAUCCGCGUCUGAUUAGGCAGUUGGCGGGGUAACGGCCCACCAAACCAACGAUCAGUAGCCGGCCUGAGAGGGUGAACGGCCACAUUGGGACUGAGACACGGCCCAAACUCCUACGGGAGGCAGCAGUGGGGAAUAUUGCACAAUGGGGGAAACCCUGAUGCAGCGACGCCGCGUGAAGGAAGAAGUAUUUCGGUAUGUAAACUUCUAUCAGCAGGGAAGAAAAUGACGGUACCUGACUAAGAAGCCCCGGCUAACUACGUGCCAGCAGCCGCGGUAAUACGUAGGGGGCAAGCGUUAUCCGGAUUUACUGGGUGUAAAGGGAGCGUAGGCGGCGAUGCAAGUCAGAAGUGAAAGCCCGGGGCUCAACUCCGGGACUGCUUUUGAAACUGUAUGGCUAGAUUGCAGGAGAGGCAAGUGGAAUUCCUAGUGUAGCGGUGAAAUGCGUAGAUAUUAGGAGGAACACCAGUGGCGAAGGCGGCUUACUGGACUGUAACUGACGUUGAGGCUCGAAAGCGUGGGGAGCAAACAGGAUUAGAUACCCUGGUAGUCCACGCCGUANACGAUGAUCACUAGGUGUCGGGGGUNAAAGAACCUUCGGUGCCGCAGCCAACGCAGUAAGUGAUCCACCUGGGGAGUACGUUCG